rnacentral:misc_RNA from 1 species
GAUGAAGAACGCAGCGAAAUGCGAUACGUAAUGUGAAUUGCAGAAUUCAGUGAAUCAUCGAGUCUUUGAACGCACAUUGCGCCCCCUGGUAUUCCGGGGGGCAUGCCUGUUCGAGCGUCAUUGCUGCCCUCAAGCACGGCUUGUGUGUUGGGCCUCCGUCCUCCUCCCGGGGGACGGGCCCGAAAGGCAGCGGCGGCACCGCGUCCGGUCCUCGAGCGUAUGGGGCUUCGUCACCCGCUCUUGUAGGCCCGGCCGGCGCUUGCCGACACAUCAAUCUUUUUUCCAGGUUGACCUCGGAUCAGGUAGGGAUACCCGCUGAACUUAAGCAUAUCAAUAAGCGGAGGA